CAGAAUAUAUGCAGUCAUGUCACAAGCAAUUAAAAAUGAAGCAAGCUUUCCAGUGAAGUCACCGCUCUGAUAAAUUUCAGUGAUAUGCAAUUCAAUGAUACGAUAAUUCCAAAAAUAAACGGUACAAAAAUGUAAUACAUCAAAAAAUUAGCAGCAAUCAUCCUCCUCAAGAUUGAAGCAGGCUGCAUAUGGUGGUAUAUUUUGAAAGUGUUGAAAACUAUUUGUAGCAAGAAGUGAAAUAUUUGAACAAUUUCCUGCAUAUACUUAAAGAACAUAAAGGAUAUGGCAAAUGAUAAACUCCAGAAAGAAAGUACAAUUAGUUUGAAGAUGGAACUCAUCUGAAGAAGUGCAAUCAAAGCAGCCAUGGCAGGCAGAAGGAGAUUAUUAUUAAUUAUUAUGCUGCAUUAUAGCUGUUUUACUUUAUCACACAGUAAAUUAUGAUAAUGGCAUUAAAUAAAAUAACACAACUGUUGUGUGGUAAUACUAA